rnacentral:rRNA from 1 species
GACGAACGCUGGCGGCGUGCUUAACACAUGCAAGUCGAACGCUGAAGCUCAGCUUUUGUUGGGUGGAUGAGUGGCGAACGGGUGAGUAACACGUGAGUAACCUGCCCCCUUCUUUGGGAUAACGCCCGGAAACGGGUGCUAAUACUGGAUAUUCACUGGUCUUCGCAUGGGGGUUGGUGGAAAGGGUUUUUCUGGUGGGGGAUGGGCUCGCGGCCUAUCAGCUUGUUGGUGGGGUGAUGGCCUACCAAGGCUUUGACGGGUAGCCGGCCUGAGAGGGUGACCGGGCACAUUGGGGCGGGGAUACGGCCCAGACUCCGACGGGGGGCGGAAGUGGGGAAUAUUGCACAAUGGGCGCAAGCCUGAUGCAGCGACGCCGCGUGAGGGAUGGAGGCCGUCGGGUUGUGAACCUCUUUCGCUCAUGGUCAAGCCGCAACAAUGGUUGUGGUGAGGGUAGUGGGUAAAGAAGCGCCGGCUAACUACGUG